rnacentral:lncRNA from 1 species
AUUAUAGACAUUGCUUUUCUCAACACCUACAGACCUUUUUCCUUCUCAGUAUGAAUUCUAUCAUGGUAUCAUGAGCCAUUAACACCACACGGUAACUUUUCUCUGCUGCCCUCUCUGUUCUACUGCCAUGGCAAUCCCACCCUUCACUAACCCUUUUUCUGAUUCUCAACCUCCCACUUUUGACCCUGCCCUUCACACCUACACUCCUCCCAUCUCUAACCACCAUGUUUCUAGCCUUCUUCCUAUUAAACUAACCCGUGACAACUAUCUUUUGUGGAAAGAACUCUUCCUCCCUAUUCUUCAGACCUCUAAUUUGCUUGGCCUCAUCAAUGGUACUGACUCAUGCCCAACCCAAUACAUUCCCAAUCCCGAAAACCCUCUUCGCACCAUUGUUAAUCCCGAAUUUCUUCACUGGUUUAAAAAGGAUCAGACUUGUAAGAUCUGGAUCCACUCUUCCCUCUCUGAAAGCAUACUUCCCUAUAUAGUCGGCUCCUCUACCUCUUGAGACCUUUGACUCACUCUUGAAAAGAGGUUUGCUACCAUCACAAGAUCCCACCUUUUGUAGCUCAAAGCUCGUAUUCAGAAUCUCAAAAAGGGGUCUCUACCCAUGCUGGACUAUCAUCAACUUAUCAAACACAUUGCUGACUCUCUUGUUGCAGCUGGUGCUCCUCUUGACCCUACAGAUUUCAUUGCUCAUGUUCUCAAUGGUCUUCCUGCCGAAUAUGAUGCUUUUGCUACCUCCAUAAGGG